GGUAGUGGAUUGUUGUUGUUGGUAGUGGGUUGUUGGUGGUAGUGGAUUAGUGGAUGGUUGUUGGUGUCCAUUUUCAACCACAAAUCUUUGCCAAAGUUUUGGACAAUUAUGUCCUUGAACUCUCUUAUAAAUAGAGAGGUUCAUUAGCCAUAUUGAUCAUCCCCAAACCAAGAGAGAGCAAAGCUUGUUCUUUGAAAGCUAGGAUUUUAGCUUUCGGGUUUUCUAUAGGGGUUGAGAGUUGUGAGGUUCUCGGGUUGUGUCUUGAGUGUAAAACACUUGUAAUCUUCAUCUUGUUAUAGUGAAAUUUCUUUUCGCCUCUGCCCGUGGACGUAGGCAUUAAAGCCGAACCACGUAAAUCCUUGUGUUCACUUUAUUUUUCGUUUCGGUCAAUUUACUUGUAGUCAUAUCGGAGUUCUCGAAUCGAUCCUUUCCGCAACAAAUUGGUAUCAGAGCGUAGUUGAAGGAGUGAUAAUAUUUUCUGAAUUGCCCUGUGACUGCAGCUUUGUCUGAUCUUUCACAUCAGGAAGAAAAUAUUAUCAUUCAUUCAAAGGUUCCAAAUUAUGGCUACAAGUGUUUCAUCGACUAAGUAUGAUGUCGAGAAAUUUACCGGGAAAAAUAGUUUCAGUUUAUGGCGCAUCAAGAUGCGGGCAGUGCUGGUUCAACAAGGAUUGCUAAAAGCAUUGUCUGGUAAAGAUAAAUUACCAAGCACGCUUUCGGAAGAGCAAAAGGAUGACAUGCUAGAAAGAGCACAUAGUGCUAUUCUGCUAUGUCUAGGAGAUGAAGUGCUACGAGAAGUAGCGGAUGAGAAAACCGCGUCCGGUUUGUGGCUCCGGUUAGAGAGCAAGUACAUGACGAAGUCAUUGACGAACCGGCUCUACCUCAAGCAAAGACUCUAUGCCCUGAAGAUGGAGGAAGGUACACCUGUUUCCCAGCACCUGGAUAAAUUCAAUUCCAUUAUCAUGGAUUUGAAUAAUAUCGAUAACAAAAUCGAUGAUGAGGACCAAGCAAUAAUUGUUUUGUGUUCUUUGCCUCCCUCGUAUGAGAAUUUUGUUGAUACAAUGAUGUACGGUCGUGAUGACCUGACUCUAGAGGAGGUGAAAAAUGCCUUAAGUUCCAGUGAGUUGAGGAAGAAAAUCACUGGUAAGGUGGUCGAAAACAAUGAAGGCGAAGGCUUGGUUGCUCGAGGAAGAUCCAAGGCAAAGGGUGGAAGUUCAAGUAAAAGCCAUCCUAGAUCGCAGUCCAAGAAGAGAAUACAGUGCUACUACUGUAAGAAGUACGGGCACAUGAAGGUAGAUUGUCCGAAAAGGAAGGAGAAAUCAGAAUCACAGGAGCAACAAAAUGAUCGUGCGAAUGUAGCUGAUGCAGAUUCUUCAAGUGAUGCCGAGAUCGUUCUUGCAGUAUCCGACUCUUACGCUGGUGGGAGAUGGAUUCUUGAUACGGGAGCUACAUUUCAUAUAAGUACUUCGAAAGAUGCAUUCUCAACAUACGAGAAGCAUUCUGGUUCAGUACUAAUGGGAAAUGACCACGCAUGUCAAGUCAUGGGGAUUGGCACAGUUCGUAUAAAGAUGUUUGACGGUAUUGUUAGAACUCUAACUGAUGUUCGGCACAUUCCAGAAAUGAAGAAAAAUUUGAUCUCUUUGAGUACGUUGGACAAGAAAGGCUUUCGGUACUCUGCUGAAGGUGGAGUUCUCAAGGUAUUCUCGGGUGCUUUGACUGUGAUACGUGGUAAUUUGGAGCGGGGCCUUUACUUCCUCGAUGGUUCCUCGGUUACAGGUGUUGCGGGAGUGUCAUCAUCAGAUGAUCUAGAUUCUGACACCACGAAGUUAUGGCAUAUGCGGCUCGGGCAUAUGAGCGAGAGAGGCUUAUCGGUGCUAAGCAAACGAGGAUUAUUGUCUGGGCAGUGUACAGGAAAGUUGAAUUUCUGUGAGCACUGCGUCUUCGGUAAGCAGACUCGGGUAAAGUUCAGCACUGGGAUUCACAAGACAAAAGGCACAGUGGAUUACUUCCAUUCUGACCUUUGGGGGCCUUCUCCGACAAUUUCUAAAGGUGGUUACAGAUAUCUGCUUACCUUUAUCGAUGAUUACUCGAGAAAGGUUUGGGUGUAUUUUCUGAAGAGCAAGUAUGAGGUUCUCAUCAACUUCAAGCAAUUUAAAGCUUUGAUCGAAAAUCAAACAGGAAAGAAGAUCAAGCGAUUCCGGACGGAUAAUGGCUUGGAGUUUUGCUCAGGUGAAUUCAAUGAGUUCUGCAAAAAUGAAGGAAUAGUGAGACACCGCACUGUUCGUCGAACACCACAACAAAAUGGAGUUGCAGAACGCAUGAAUAGAACUCUCUUGGAGCGAGCUCGUUGCAUGCGAUCAAAUGCUGGGCUCGGUGAAGAAUUUUGGGCUGAAGCUGUUAAUACUGCUUGUUAUUUGGUUAACAGAUCUCCGUCAACAGCUAUUGAGCUGAAGACUCCUGAGGAAGUAUGGUCUGGUUCUCCUGCUGAUUACUCUGGUUUAAGAGUGUUUGGCUGCCCUGUGUAUGCUCAUGUAAAUGAGGGAAAACUCAAACCGAGGGCGAAGAAAUGCAUAUUUCUUGGAUACGGCCAAGGGGUGAAAGGAUACAGGUUGUGGUGUCCUGAUCCGGUUUCGUCCAAGUUCAUCAUCAGCAGAGAUGUGACUUUUGAUGAGUCAUCCAUGCUUCGAUCCACCACAAAUUCCCGGGAAAAGGAGGAGUCAGAUAGAAUGGGAGAUCACGGUGUUGAGAAGCAGGUGGAGUGUCAGGUGGACGCUCCAAUUCCUACGGAAGGUACUUCAGUCCAGGAUGAUCAAGUUGAGGUGCAAGAUUCUGAUGAAGAUGAGUCACCUCAAGAAAAACCAUAUAGCAUUGCCACUGGAAGAACGAAGAGACAAAUCAAACCAAAUCCGCGUUACGCUAAUCUGGUGUCUUUCGCGCUCAGUGUGGCGGAGUCCAUUGGUAUAGAACCUUCCAGUUAUAAUGAGGCUGUCACGUGUGAUGAGUCGGCACAGUGGGCAAUUGCUAUGAGUGAGGAGAUAGAAUCUCUUCACAAGAACCAUACUUGGGAGUUGGUUAAGCCGCCAAGUAACCAGAAGAUAGUUGGUUGCAAAUGGGUCUUCAAGAAAAAGGAAGGCAUCCUAGGGGUUGAAGCAACUAGAUUCAAGGCACGAUUGGUUGCUAAAGGCUUCACUCAGAAAGAGGGGAUUGACUACAAUGAAGUUUUCUCCCCAGUCGUAAAGCAUUCUUCCAUUCGUGUAUUACUUGCCAUGGUGGCCAAGUCUGAUCUAGAACUUGAGCAGCUUGACGUAAAAACGGCGUUCUUGCAUGGUGAGCUCGAGGAAACAAUCUACAUGCGUCAACCAGAGGGUUUUACAGUUCCUGGUAAAGAAGACCAUGUCUGUCUAUUAAAGAAGUCUUUAUAUGGAUUGAAACAAUCCCCAAGGCAGUGGUACAAGCGGUUUGAUAGCUUCAUGAUUCAGCAUGGUUACACAAGAUGUGACUAUGAUGCUUGUGUCUAUCAUCGGAAGCUCUCAGAUGGUUCGCACAUUUAUUUGUUGCUGUAUGUUGAUGACAUGUUAAUUGCUUCCAAAAACAUGUCGGAAAUCAACAAGUUAAAGUCGCAGUUGAGUGGUGAGUUCGAGAUGAAGGAUCUGGGUGCUGCCAAGAAAAUUUUGGGCAUGGAUAUUCACAGAGAUCGCAAGGCGGGCAAGCUUCGUGUGUCGCAGAAGAACUACAUUGAAAAGGUUCUUCAACGCUUCGGCAUGGAUAAAGCGAAAACUGUGAGUACUCCGUUGGCACCACAUUUCAAACUCUCUGCAGAGUUGUCACCACAAUCUGAUGAAGAAAAGCAGCAAAUGUCUCACAUUCCAUACUCGAGUGCAGUUGGAAGCGUGAUGUAUGCAAUGGUUUGCACUCGUCCAGACAUUUCACAUGCAGUUAGUGUGGUCAGCAGAUACAUGAGUUGUCCUGGCAAGGAACACUGGCAGGCCGUGAAAUGGAUUCUCAGGUACUUGAGAGGUUCUGCAGAUUUAUGCUUGGUAUAUGAUCAGAGUGACUGCACUAGCAGUGUCACGGGCUAUGUGGACUCUGAUUAUGCUGGAGAUCUGGACAAAAGAAGAUCUCUGACGGGUUAUGUUUUCACUUAUUCUGGAGGAGCCAUUAGUUGGAAAGCUGUGUUACAGUCUACCGUAGCCUUAUCUACGACUGAGGCGGAAUAUAUGGCGUUAGCAGAAGCAGUGAAAGAAGCAUUGUGGAUGAAAGGUCUAGUAAGCAGUUUGGGUUUACAACAGGAUUUCACUGUUGUAUUUUGCGAUAGCCAGAGUGCCAUACAUCUGACUAAAAAUCAGAUGUUUCAUGAACGGACCAAACACAUUGAUGUCAGAUAUCAUUUUGUUCGGGAACAUGUUACGCAAGGUGACAUUGUUAUCAGCAAGGUUGCUACCGAGAAGAAUCCUGCAGAUAUGUUAACUAAGGUGAUCCCUGCAUAUAAGUUCAAGCAUUGCUUGGACUUGAUAGGUAUUCGGGAUUGAUUAGCGCCAGAGAGGCGUUUGGAAGAGGUGAUCCAGUUCGAGGAAUUCACUAUGAUGUUCAGCUUGGUAAAUUUCAAGCCAAGGUGGAGAUUUGUUAAGAAAUGGCUUAAAAUUGGUAGUGGAUUGUUGUUGUUGGUAGUGGGUUGUUGGUGGUAGUGGAUUAGUGGAUGGUUGUUGGUGUCCAUUUUCAACCACAAAUCUUUGCCAAAGUUUUGGACAAUUAUGUCCUUGAACUCUCUUAUAAAUAGAGAGGUUCAUUAGCCAUAUUGAUCAUCCCCAAACCAAGAGAGAGCAAAGCUUGUUCUUUGAAAGCUAGGAUUUUAGCUUUCGGGUUUUCUAUAGGGGUUGAGAGUUGUGAGGUUCUCGGGUUGUGUCUUGAGUGUAAAACACUUGUAAUCUUCAUCUUGUUAUAGUGAAAUUUCUUUUCGCCUCUGCCCGUGGACGUAGGCAUUAAAGCCGAACCACGUAAAUCCUUGUGUUCACUUUAUUUUUCGUUUCGGUCAAUUUACUUGUAGUCAUAUCGGAGUUCUCGAAUCGAUCCUUUCCGC
rnacentral:lncRNA from 1 species